CCUACGGGAGGCAGCAGUGGGGAAUUUUGGACAAUGGGCGCAAGCCUGAUCCAGCAAUGCCGCGUGCAGGAAGAAGGCCUUCGGGUUGUAAACUGCUUUUGUCAGGGAAGAAAUCUUCUGGGUUAAUACCUCGGGAGGAUGACGGUACCGAAGAAUAGACCUGAUUCC
rnacentral:rRNA from 1 species